rnacentral:lncRNA from 1 species
UUUUACCUCUGUCUGUCAGUCCGUCCGUCAGUCCGUCCGUCAGUCAGUCCGUCCCAUGAAACUUUCGUCACAUUUUUCUCAGGAACUACACAUCCACCCUUUCUGUAAUUUGGUAUCAACAUUUAUAUAUGUCAGCCAUACCGUGUGAUGCGUUUUCAGAUUCAUCACUUGACAACUUCCUGUUUACCGAACACUUGUAUGAUUUUACACAUGAUAGCCAAGUUGAAAAUUUUCGUCACAUUUUUCUCAGGAACUACAAUACAAGGAUUUCUGAAAUUUGGUUUCAGGAUUUAUAUAAGUCAGCUAUACCGUGUGAUGCGUUUUCAGAUUCAUCACUCGACAACUUCCUGUUUACCGAACACUUGCAUAUUUUUACACUAUUAAUAGUAUCCACUUGCGGCGGGG